rnacentral:rRNA from 1 species
UACGAAGGGGGCUAGCGUUGUACGGAAUCACUGGGCGUAAAGCGCACGUAGGCGGAUCUUUAAGUCAGGGGUGAAAUCCCGAGGCUCAACCUCGGAACUGCCUUUGAUACUGGGGAUCUCGAGUCCGGGAGAGGUGAGUGGAACUGCGAGUGUAGAGGUGAAAUUCGUAGAUAUUCGCAAGAACACCAGUGGCGAAGGCGGCUCACUGGCCCGGAACUGACGCUGAGGUGCGAAAGCGUGGGGAGCAAACAGG